rnacentral:rRNA from 1 species
UACGGAGGGUGCAAGCGUUGUCCGGAAUCACUGGGCGUAAAGGGCGCGUCGGCGGCUCGGUAAGUAGGGGGUGAAAUCCUGCGGCUUAACCGCAGGGCUGCCUUCUAAACUGUCGAGCUUGAGCACGGUAGAGGCAGAUGGAAUUCCCGGUGUAGCGGUGGAAUGCGUAGAGAUCGGGAAGAACAUCAGUGGCGAAGGCGGUCUGCUGGGCCGUUGCUGACGCUGAGGCGCGACAGCGUGGGGAGCAAACAGG